GGGAUCAAGCCCAGAGGCCCUUUAUCGCUGAAUUUCGGUUCUAGUUCUUUUUAUUCUUUUAUUUGGAGGCAGAGUCUAAGUUGCCCCAGCUGGCCUUGAACUUGAGAUCCUCAUGCCUCAGCCUCCUGAAUCACUGGCUCACCUCUGAGCCUUGCUAUAAGUUCUCGGCAGACACAACAUCUUUGUAUGGGGUGCUGAGGAUUGAACCUGGACCGCACGCAUGCCAGGUGAAUACCACAUACGUUUUUCUGUUAAAAAUCCUUAAGAGAAUUCCGAUACUCUAUCCGGGACAUCACCCUUACCUACCUUGGGAAUCACACCAAAUUCUUAGAAAGCUGGAUCUGCAGGACGUGGAGCAACAGCGUGGCCCAUUCUUCUGAAGGGCUUCACCUGACCUUCCAGUUUGGAAUUUGAAGGUAACACACUUCUCACAAAUCUUAUUGGACUCUAAUUGUGCUAUUACUUGCCAGUUGACCUAUAUUAAAUGGGUCUGUCUUUGCCAAAAGGCCCUAAAAUUAGUUCAGUUUGCAAUAUAGCAAACAUUUUGUUGUGCCUUUGCUGGAGGCCCCUUCCCUGUGGUGGCUCCAGCAAGCACCUCUCAUACCUCCUGAAUCUCUGGACCAGCACAACACAAGUUGCUCUUGUGCUUCUGAUAUGAGAAACAUGCUUCUGAUAAAAGAAAUCCCCUUCCUCCAUUUCAUGAUAUAUGCUGGGAGAAUGAUCUCUGCUGGCCCAAACUGGGCUCUCUUGGACAUGCUGCUCUCUCAGCCCAUGACUUUCCAUGUUCAGCAGCUCACUACCCUAGGUCACAGGAGCAGCACACCCAGAGGUUUGGCAUGGCGGGCGAGGUCUCCAGCUGCAGGACAGACUUGGCUAGAUGCCAUGGUGCUAAAGACAGGCAACCCUCUCCCAAAGCCUUUGACUUGGUGAAGCUCCUGCAAUCAACUCUGAAUAGCAAAGGGAAUUUUCAGACUUUACAG